GACAUCACAAGUUACUUUCACUCAGCCUGUUCCAGUGUCUGACAAAAAUGAUCGGAAUUACAAUUACAAAGGAGAUCCAUGAUUUCUUGCAGCCUGUCAUGUCCUCAGCGUCCUUGACGCCCAAAUGAUAAUCAUGGAUAUGGAUCUCGUAACUUUCACUUGAGGCUUUGCCGGAAAAUGCUGAUGCAAGAAGGGCUCUGAAUCUCCAUCCCUUUUUCCCAUUGGCUCAUUGUCUCCUCCCACAGUGCAGUCACGAGGUCUAACAUUAUGAUGAUGUCUGGAGAAAACAGGCUUUCAUCUCGGCUGUAAUGCGUCUUGAGCUACAAUGAAAUGAUAUUCUGGGUUAUUUCUGUUGCACACAGAGUCAAUUUUGAGUAAUGUUUCAAAGCAUUGCUCUGUACGAGAGCAUCACCUACCAUUGUCUGUCGUAAACAUUGGGUUGUUUGCCUCACCAGCCUCUGCUGCGUCAUGACGCAGUUUUCCUUUGAG
rnacentral:lncRNA from 1 species